rnacentral:lncRNA from 1 species
UGCAGAAAUCGUAACAGCAAGGGAAAAACUCGCUAGGAGUUCGCUAUUAGCGAAACUCCCUGUAACUAUUUCGCUAUUAGCUCACUUUUCGCCAUUAGCGAACUUGCCUAGUGACAGCAUACCCUGUUUUAUGUUCUUGCGUCUUUUUCACACGUUUCUAUUUUGAAUUGGCCUUUGGUGUGAACAUGAAAGUUGUAGAUAAUUUUGUUAGCUUUCCAAUGGCUUUGGUUUGACU